rnacentral:rRNA from 1 species
UACGUAGGUGGCAAGCGUUGUCCGGAUUUACUGGGCGUAAAGGGCGCGUAGGCGGAUACUUAAGUGGGAUGUGAAAUACCUGGGCUUAACUUGGGUGCUGCAUUCCAAACUGGGUGUCUAGAGUGUUGGAGAGGAAAGUGGAAUUCCUAGUGUAGCGGUGAAAUGCGUAGAGAUUAGGAAGAACACCAGUGGCGAAGGCGACUUUCUGGACAAUAACUGACGCUGAGGCGCGAAAGCGUGGGGAGCAAACAGG